rnacentral:lncRNA from 1 species
AUUUGAUGGUCUUUCAACAAUCUGCUCAGCUACAUUUGCUGAUCUUCUGGGGCACCUAUUUUGUACAUUAUGUGUAAUAGCACUUCUGAAAACAUAGCUGAGGUUGCCUUAUAUUUCAUUUUCUUGUUUUAGGUAAAUAUCCUCUGUUCUUUCUUCUAGAUAUGUUUCCAGACACUUGGCAAUCUCCUGAGCUUCUAAAUUGGAGUGGUCAUGUUCUCCAUUGCCCUGAUUGUUCGUUGGGAAUCAAUGGAAGAUUUUGCCUGAUAUCCAUUUGCAUUAGAUACUUUCCAUAUAACUACAAGGAGGGAGGAUGUAAUUUCACAGCGGUCAACAAAUAGGUUAAAGGCCUAUUUCAGAAAUGGAGAAUGAAUACUUGCUGGGCAAAACUCCAGUUUUGGAGGAAUGGCUUAAAGGAGCAUUACUUGAAGGAGAUAGCAUGUGUAAUCUGAAAGGACCAAAACACUCAUGUUGUUAUUUGUCACACCUGUAGAUCUCUUGCAGAAGCUAAAGCUUAUGCUCAAAUAUUUGUAUGCUGAUGGCCUGCAUGAUUAAACUUAGAGAAACAUUAGGAUUAAUUAGAUUCUGUAUACAUCCCCUCAUACAAGCUGCUGCACUGUCUCCUGCUGGGGAGUUCCAGUUUGGAAGUUAAUCUAUUACUUGCAGCAGAGGCAAUUCAAAGAGACAUUUGCACUGAAGAGACCUCUAAAUUAGACCAAUUUACACAAAUGUUCAACAUUACAUAAUGGUAAUGGACCAGAUUGGAGUCUUAACUGCUCAGUUUUUCAUACAAGUCAUGCAGUUGGUGAGUGAUUUCAUGAGACAGCUCACAUGACUAAUAGCUCAACACUACGAGUAAGGGAUCUGCAAUCUGUCUUUCUAUUAUUAUUUGUCUAAUUAUAACCUUUGUUACUGAAGUGCACAUUUGCUGUAGAACAUGAAUACACUCACCUGAAAGUUGCAUAGGUACUGAUCAAAGCAGUAAUGUCUGGGAGAGUUUACAACCCUGAAUGCAGUUGUGUGAUAAUAAGAGAAUUUUUUUUAAAUAAAGUAUUAAAAAAAGAAAAAAAAAAGAGAGAG